AAAACCUUAUUGAAUGCAAAGAACAAGAUACAAGAUCAUGCUAAGAUUUUACAAUGAAGUGAUGAUGAGAAAUACUAGUAUUACUAACCAAUUCAAAGAUAGAGAGACUCUAAAUUUGUGAAAUUCAUUAGCCACAAGACUUAACUACACCUAAUUCUACAAAACCAUUCAAAUAGACAAAGUAAAACAUAUAAUUUUAGUGUUGAUGGUAGACUAUGACCGUAGUGAUUGGCCACAGGUGGACGUAACCAACUACUCCCUCUGUCUCUGUAUGUAAGUAUCAUUUACCUCUAAUAAAAAAGUGUUUAGAUAUAACGACAGAGGGAGUAUGACUUUAGCCUCCUUUUGAUUUUACAAAUUCCAUGAGUUAUGGUGACAGUUUCUGCCAAGUGUUGCGAAUUUAAAUAGUUUUACGAUGAAUUUCCACAUCCAAUGUAUUGAAAAAGCACUCCAUUACCAUUAUUUGAUUCAUUGGCCAUAAAGAGUUCAUCAAAUUCAUGUCUACCACUAUUUCUUCAUCAAUUCUUCAAAAUCUCUUGACCAUAUCUAUUUAUUGGAAAAUAGAUAAAAAGUAGUAAAGUAAUUCUAAAAGUAUAAUAAAAACUAAUAAUUACUUAAAGACAAAUUCUAUGGUACAUCCAAUAAAUUUGGGUGUAUCGGUACACCAAGUCGUAAAAUUAAUAAUAAAUGAGUUGUUUUUUUGAAGAAAAAUAAUUAUUUUCUAUCAUUGACAACUAAGAUAAUUAAAUUUUAUUUACCAAAAGUUUCGACGAAAUAAAAUUUAAUUUUUAAGAAUUUUUAUUACUCAUAACAAUGAAUAUUGAUUAUUUUUUAUGAGAAAAUGUAAAUUUUUUAAUAUGAUCCUUAUAAACAAUGAAAUGAUUGUUUUUCUUAUGAAAUGAUGUUUUCUAAAAUAUAAAUAUUGACAAAUACCUUUUUAUUUCAUUAAAGUGAUCGUUAAUUUAUAUAUUUUGUGAAACAAGAGUACUGGUACACUCAAAAUUGUAAGUGUACCAUAGAAAUUCUAUGCAUAAAAUACGUAUAAAAAAAUGUCAUCAAACGCCCCAUGCAUGAAACAUUGUUUGUCCUCAAGCAAUUGUUUCGGUAUGAAAUAUUAGGAACAAGCAAACAUAAAAAUUAAUAAGAACAAAAUUCAAAUGCAUGUGUAAGCAUAGGGCAAAGUCAAAAAUCAAGGGAACACCAACUUAAGUUUCAAGUUAGAGUCUUAGGCUCUCUAAGUCACAAAUUCUCAACAAAAAUGGGCACUCACCUCACAAAAUCACUCAUUUUAGAAAAAUGUAAUUGAGUCUCACUAAAUUGUUUAUCAGCGAAUAAGUCCUGCUAUAGGGUUGACAAUAAACCUACUUUUCUACUAUUUCUCUUGUGGAAGCAAACAUGAAUAAAAAAAGCACUCUUUAAAGUGCUUCAUUUUCAUUAUACAUGCUUCACAAGAAAAUAGCUUCAAAAAGGUUACAAGUAAAAUUCUAGAGGAACAUAAAUCAAUGAGAGAUUUCACUCGAAACAUGGAGAAAGGGAGAUAUUUUGAUUUUUUUUUUUUUUGGUUUUGUUCAAGGACAUAUAAUGACUCGAAAUCUCACAUUUAUAGGGCUAACUUCUCAAGCAUGGAGUUGGUUCAUCAGAUAAAAAUUUACUUACCAUCUAUUCACACAUACACAAGAAUUAAAAUUACAAGUAUAUUAUAACAAAAUGUUCAAGCAAAUGAGUAACUUGACUGUAAUAGUCAAAGUAAGAAAAACAAAAGAAAACAUAGAUUAAAGAAGAACAAAAUUAGGUACCCCACUCCAUAUUUGAAUUGGACAUUAUACUCAAUGUUUUAGCAUGAAAAGGUAAAUAAAGUGAAUGAGUAAUAAAAGCUCAAAAGAUUGUUUGAAGAAGGAUGCCUUAUUGAUUGGAUUGCUUCACAUCCUUGAUAUAAAUCUAGAUUUUGUCUUUAUCUCUUGAUGUAGCUUGAAGAUCUGAUCAUGGUUAUUAGUUUUGGGAUUGGUGCAUGGGUGUAGAAAUUAGGAUGAUGGAUGGGUUGUUAUAUGUGGUUUUGGAGAAUAAAAGAAAACAAAAGUAAAGAAAUUAAAAUUUGAGUAUUAUUUUUCUCACCCUAUGCCAUACUCACGCGCUCUGCAAAAAUGAUCAAUAUGCCAUUCGGAUUAUAUAAUUCGGAAAAAUACGAAAUACAUUCCGGAUUACGUAAUCUGAACUUCUUCGGUAUAUAUAAGGAAGUUCACC
rnacentral:lncRNA from 1 species